CCUACGGGUGGCAGCAGUGGGGAAUAUUGCGCAAUGGGCGAAACCCUGACCCAGCAACGCCGCGUGAGUGAAGAAGUCUUUCGGUAUGUAAACCUCUAUCGUCAGGGAAGAAUAUGACAGUACCUCUGUAGAAUACCCCGGCUAACUACGUGCCAGCCGCCGCGGUAAUACGCAGGGGGCGAGCGUUUUCCGGAUUUACUGUGUGUAAAGGGGGCGUAGACGGCGGUGCAAGUCUGGAGUGAAAGGCGGUGGCUCAACCCCCGGACUGCACUGGAAACUGUACUGCUGGAGUGCAGGAGAGGCAAGUGGAAUUCCUAGUGUAGCGGUGAAAUGCGUAGAUAUUAGGAGGAACACCAGUGGCGAAGGCGGUUUUCUGGACUGUAACUGACGUUGAGGCGCGAAAGCGUGGGGAGCAAACAGGAUUAGAUACCCGAGUAGUC
rnacentral:rRNA from 1 species